rnacentral:rRNA from 1 species
CCUACGGGAGGCAGCAGUGGGGAAUAUUGCACAAUGGGGGAAACCCUGAUGCAGCGACGCCGCGUGAGUGAAGAAGUACUUCGGUAUUUAAAGCUCUAUCAGCAGGGAAGAAAAAAGACGGUACCUGACGAAGAAGCCCCGGCUAACUACGUGCCAGCAGCCGCGGUAAUACGUAGGGGGCAAGCGUUAUCCGGAAUUACUGGGUGUAAAGGGUGCGUAGGUGGGAUGGUAAGUCAGAAGUGAAAGCCCGGGGCUUAACCCCGGGACUGCUUUUGAACCUGUCAUGCUUGAGUGCAGGAGAGGUAAGCGGAAUUCCUAGUGUAGCGGUGAAAUGCGUAGAUAUUAGGAGGAACACCAGUGGCGAAGGCGGCUUACUGGACUGUCACUGACGCUGAUGCACGAAAGCGUGGGGAGCAAACAGGAUUAGAUACCCUUGUAGUC